rnacentral:rRNA from 1 species
UACGUAGGGUGCGAGCGUUGUCCGGAAUCACUGGGCGUAAAGGGCGCGUAGGCGGCCGAUCAAGUCGGGGGUGAAAGCCUGUGGCUCAACCACAGAAUUGCCUUCGAUACUGUUUGGCUUGAGACCGGAAGAGGUAAGUGGAACUGCGAGUGUAGAGGUGAAAUUCGUAGAUAUUCGCAAGAACACCAGUGGCGAAGGCGGCUUACUGGUCCGGUUCUGACGCUGAGGCGCGAAAGCGUGGGGAGCAAACAGG